rnacentral:rRNA from 1 species
UACGGGGGGGUGCGAGCGUUGUCCGGAAUCACUGGGCGUAAAGGGCGCGUAGGUGGUUUUGAUAAGGGUGUGGUGAAAAGUCCGGAGCUCAACUCCGGAUCUGCCGUGCCCGACUGUCAAACUCGAGGGCUGUAGAGGCAGACGGAAUUCCGGGUUGUAGCGGUGGAAUGCGUAGAGAUCCGGAGGAAGACCGGUGGCGAAGGCGGUCUGCUGGGCAUUAACUGACGCUGAGGAGCGAAAGCAUGGGGAGCGAACAGG